rnacentral:tRNA from 1 species
AAGCUGGUGUUCAUGCGGGUUCUGGCCUGUUCCAGGUGCGGACUUUGAAUCCGUUGGUCGCAGGUUCGAAUCCCCGCACGGCCUACCA